AUCUUCUGCAUUGUUUCAUGUGUUCUGUUUUUGAUCUCUGGCAUGCUGUCCUUUGCUGCAGGAAAAUGUCCAAACAUACAUGUGACCAAACUGUCUUUCUCCCUGAACAUCAUCAGCUUCUUCUGGUCAUUGGCGGCUUUUUCUGUCUUUGUGGUCAUUGUAAUUUUUUAUGGUGGUCUUCGUCCUCGCCCUAUAUAU